rnacentral:snoRNA from 1 species
AUUGCGAUGAUGAGGUGCUAACACGUAAGUGUAACCAACUAUGUGGUGGUUACUCGAUGAAAUCUUCUUGUUACGCUUGGCUUCUGAGCUUU